GAAAAAAAAACAGAGACGGUUAUAGCACCCACGCACGACUCCUCAGUGAAAAGUGAAAACUGAACACUGAGCCAAAAUCCUCCAACACAGAUCCCUCUCUCCGCCUCGUUACGCGCCUGAACCGCCGCUGGCCUCCGGGCACCACCGUCGUCGCCUUGCGCGGCUGCAUCGCAGGGGGACUGCCGACCGCGCCUCGAGAAGCAGUGGCGAGAAGGCUGUCGUGGGCUCCGUGAGGGAAGCCACCUCCACCUGUUCGCCAAGGCCGACACUGCCUCGAUCAAUUGAGAUCAGCGACCCGCAUCAGACUACAUCACUAGGAACAGCCGGGACAAGGGCCAUGGCCGCGUCGGCCUCUGCUGGUUUUAGACAGUAUAAAUUUCCAAUUUCUGUACGCCCUUGUUUUUGUUUCGAUUUGUAGGAUCUACUAAAUUUUCAGGUCGACUGAAACUAUAGCUGGCGCAAGCCCAAGCCAGCAGCAGGACAACCUGCAGCUUAGUAGCGGUUCAGAUCGGAAUAGGAGAGUUCCCUUUGCAUCCUGGAAAUCUGUCAAUUCUGGAUUGACCCCAGAUUGAUCGGGUCAUAUGAUACUAAGAUUAGAGUUCUGCUGCCCUGAUGGUUCCUUUCCGUUUGUUUGAAUUAUAGUCUCCAGUAUAUAAGGUGCUAUAGGUGGUCACGUUUUUAUGAAUCUUUUCAGCCGUCUGCUUUAAAAUCUUUUGCAUGGAAUUGACUUCGCAAUGUGUUGUCAUACAAUUGUCAUGUUCAAAGAACUUGUUGAAUACUGAUAAAUCACAAUUAGUUUGUGAGUAUUGUAGAGAACAUGAUGUUUGUGCAGUUGUGCUUAGAACAUGGGAAAAGAAAACAUGAGAUUGAGACUUCCACUUGUUACUUAUUUUGCUCUGCUAUGUUAUAGGGUGUCGAAGGCAUGUGACUUAUAUCAUUUUCUAAAACUUUCCCUUCAGAUUCGAUGUGUGGCCCUCGGUUCUGCUCACCAUGCAAUUCUUCAGCAGUUUCAUCGCAGUGUUACAUAAUCCGGAAGAAGGUUGCAGGGCAGAAAAUACAUACAUGACGUGGGGCAUUUCACCAUAGAAGAGCAUUCAUUGAUAUAAUUAAUCCAGGUAAAGAGUGAACCAGUAGCCAAGGACUUGCACUAUGUUGCUUGAGAAGGUAAAUAUCUUAAAGGUUUCUUUGUUUUGACUUCUCCUCACUAGCAUUUGCAUGCCUAACUUAAUUCAUAGCUGAAGCUCGUGAUUCUUUUCUGCUCUCUUUCAGAUAAUUUUGCUGAUAUCCACAUUUCACAGGUUAGUACCAAUUCUUGGGUUCACAAUGAAUCUUGUCAGUGGGAGCUAGAAUAAGAGUUUGAGGUGAUCAAAUGUACACAAACUUGAAGUUACAUUGAUUUUUACGGAAUUAGUUGUGACUUGUGACUCAAUAUGGUAUUGUCAUGUGUUACAUUGCAUGUGAUAGAUUGUGUCAUGAGGCCAUAUUAUUGAAAUGUUGACUCAGAUGCAUUAUAUCUAAGCACCAUGAACUUUGUUUACCUAAUGAUGACAUACAUACAAACACAAUGGCCUAUAAAACCUAUUUAUUAACAUGAUUACUAUAAAUAAAAUCCCUCUAACCUUCUGUUCAUUAAGGUACUGGGACCUUGAUAAGCUCAGCCAACACAUGUUCAGCAACUUUCUGAGCGCUGGUAAAUUAUGGAUGUUUUUACAUUAUGAAGAUGUGUAUAGGUUGGGAACAUGCGGUGGUGAUGGCAGGUAUGGUUGAUACGUCAUCCGCUCCAUGUCCCGCAAGAAAAAUCUCACGGAACAGCAGGACCGCCCAAAAAAAACCAGGAGAAAAACUGUCCACUUCCCACCCACGCAUGCCAAGAGCCCACGAUCCCCUCACAAGUUCUAUCCAUUGCCAGUUCACCACUGCCACGCUGAUUGCUUCGAUGGCACAAGACCAUGCCACCCUCCACUCCGGUGUGGCCUCCAAGAAUGUCAUCCUUAACCUCACGGCGAGCAUCUCCGCCUGCCUCUACCGCCCCUCGCCGCGUUGGACCCAGGUAUGAUGCUCCUUGUUGUCUUCUUCUACGGUGGCGAUUUCCUGUCCACACCACUGCUAUACUACUCUUCACAGCCUCCCUCGCCAUUGUAGUUCCUUCCGUCAUCGUCUCCGUCGACUAUCGUCUCGCCCCGGUGCAGCACAACAAGGAGAUCUAAGGAGGUCCUUCUCAAGGAGCUCAUCGCCUGCAGGUUGGGAGGACAAUAGUGAUGGGCAUGGUGAAGCGGCCUUCGACUCUUGUCUCGCGCGCCUCCAUCAUUGGUGAUAAAGAUAUGUGCAGCUUCUCCCCAGGCCUUGCGCAGGCCCUCUGUCCUCCUAACUCCCAACUCUUCAGUCCCCUCACCUCUCAAGUUCUCCCGGUCGACUCCUAGCUCACCAUUUUCCAAUGGAAUACCCUCGUUGUCAAGGAUGUCCUGGGUCGUCUCCCAUGGACUGAAUGCUACAGAAAGCGAGCUGCAAGAACAUAUCAUACUCAUACGCAUUGGCUUUCUAAUCUGAGGUAGGAGGAAGACUGGGACGUCAAGCACAAGGGGAAGACCUGGAGGAACUCGAGCGAGUAACAAAGUGAAGAACUUUAGGGUCUUGGGAGUAGAGAAGGGCUGUUUAUGUACAUUUUCCCAUCACGUGUUCAUGAAAAUGAAUGUUUGACA